rnacentral:miRNA from 1 species
GAUCUCGCUAUGCGGUUCAGGCUGACCUUGAACUCACUUUGUAGCCCAGGCUGGCCUUAAACUCACAAUAAUCCUCCUGCCUCAGCCUCCAGAGUGCUGGGAUUAUAGGCAUGCGCCACCA